UGGGGAAUAUUGCGCAAUGGGGGGAACCCUGACGCAGCCAUGCCGCGUGAAUGAAGAAGGCCUUCGGGUUGUAAAGUUCUUUCGGUAUUGAGGAAGGUUGAUGUGUUAAUAGCACAUCAAAUUGACGUUAAAUACAGAAGAAGCACCGGCUAACUCCGUGCCAGCAGCCGCGGUAAUACGGAGGGUGCGAGCGUUAAUCGGAAUAACUGGGCGUAAAGCGCGCGUAGGUGGUUAUUUAAGUGAGGUGUGAAAGCCCUGGGCUUAACCUAGGAAUUGCAUUUCAGACUGGGUAACUAGAGUACUUUAGGGAGGGGUAGAAUUCCACGUGUAGCGGUGAAAUGCGUAGAGAUGUGGAGGAAUACCGAAGGCGAAGGCAGCCCCUUGGGAAUGUACUGACGCUCAUGUGCGAAAGCGUGGGGAGCAAACAGGAUUAGAUACCCUGGUAGUCCACGCUGUAAACGCUGUCGAUUUGGGGGUUGGGGUUUAACUCUGGCGCCCGUAGCUAACGUGAUAAAUCGACCGCCUGGGGAGUACGGCCGCAAGGUUA
rnacentral:rRNA from 1 species